rnacentral:piRNA from 3 species
UGGAAAGAGAAAUUCUUGAGGACCCUGGC